UAUAUAUGUUAAAAUAAAAAAUUAAACUCGUCAACUGUUAUCCAAGUGGCUCUGAAGAAGUAGGAUGAAAAUUAACACUCUCAAACCUAUUCUUGCACUAUGCAUACUUUGCUUCUUAGGCCUUGAAAGUGUUCAAGCUUCUUGGGCAACUGGACAGAGAUGUGUUUUAUUGAAAGAUAAAUAUCUUUCAGGCCAAAAGAUGAUACACUGUAGACCAAAAGAAUGUAACAUUUAAUGGAUGCAUUGUCAUCCAUUGAUAAACAAUAUCCUGAGCUUAUUAAGGAAAAACGAAUAAUCAAACAAAGGUUUGUAAUGGAAAUAAUAUUGACAGAACUUAAAGUAUCAAUUCUGAGGAAGUAAGAACGUGGUACUUAUUACCAUCACAAGACUCGUUUUAUACAAAAAAUAAUUAAAGUAUCAUUUCAUGUUAUAUAUUUAUAUGAAUAACAUAUAUGUAGAAAGUCUUUGUUAUAGAAAUACAUCAUUUAAAAGCCAA
rnacentral:lncRNA from 1 species